rnacentral:pre_miRNA from 1 species
AGUGGAAUAGCUGAGUCAAAUGUUGGUUCCAUUCCAGAUUUUCUGAGGAAUCUCCAUAUUGCUUUCCAUAGUGGUUGUGCUAAUUUGCAUUUCCACUAGCAAU